UACGUAAAAGACUAGUGUUAUUCAUCUUUAGUAGGUUUAAAGGGUACCUAGACGGUAUAAUUAGUCUUAAACAAGAAACGGUUAUGCUAGAGUUAUAUAUGAGAAGGGGAGUAUUUAUGGAGUAGAGUUGAAAUUCUUUGAUCCCAUAACGACUGGUAGCGGCGAAAGCAACCUUUUAUCUAAUAACUGACGUUGAGGGACGAAGGCUCGGGUCACGAGCAGG
rnacentral:rRNA from 1 species